GUUUGUUGUCUGUGCUGUGAAGAAGGAGUCCGUGUUGUGAGGAGCUGCCCAUGAGCAAUCACCAAGAAGGGGUUGCUAAGUAAAUCUCCAAACAACCUACAUGCAGUUGUGCUGUCUAUGUAAAGGGCAGCUCCCUUUCCCAGCUCCAUCCAGCCUUUGGUCUGCCAAGGUCUGCACAGGUGCUGUAUGAGGUCCUGAAAAUACCUACAGGUGCCUCAUCCUCGUCUCCCACACACCCUCUGGAUUUUGGGAGCCCCUGCAGAGACAGACUGUGUGCCAUGCAUAAGGUCUGAAAUCUAGAAGAGCAUUUAAUUUAAGUAUGUGAAUAAUCCUGUUGAAGUACUUUAAAGUAAUCACAUGCUCAAAGUUAAGUGUGUGCUUAAAAGCUUUGCUAGGCUGGGGCAUGGCCUGUCCCCCUCCCUCAGACACCAUACAAAAUCAGAUCGGUUGUCAAGAGAUGUACCACAUCCAGCGGGAUUGCUUCCUGUGUCUUCUGAACUUGAAUCUUGCCAGCUAAUUUAUAUUGUAGCUAUUUGUAUAUCAUGUCAUGUGAAAUAUCCCAAAAUAUUGAAGAGAAGGUUCGCAAGAGAUUAAAAAGUAUAAAAUGUGAAUGAUGUAAGGGAAAAUUUCAAAUAUGACACAAGUGAUGAAAAGUAAUUAAAGAAAUUAUUAAUGUUAAAACCAAAUAUGUUUUAUGUUAUGCAAGCAUAUGCCUGGGAUUUGCCUAUUACCAAGACUGCAAUACACAGAAACAGUGAAAAAUCCCUGUACAUUACAAAGCUGCUAGAGUGCCAAAUUUAAACAUGCUUUUUUUUCCCCAUCUGCAUUAAGUACAGUCAGUUUGUUCUAAAGGCCAUCCCUUUUCUGUUCUAAUGCCCUGUGUUCCUUGGUUUUGUUUUUGAUCGUGGUUUUUGAGGAGGUAAA